CCUACGGGAGGCAGCAGUGGGGAAUUUUGCGCAAUGGGGGAAACCCUGACGCAGCAACGCCGCGUGAGUGAUGAAGGCCUUCGGGUCGUAAAGCUCUGUCAGAGGGGAAGAAAUGAUGUGGUGCUAAUACCAUCACUUCUUGACGGUACCCUCAAAGGAAGCACCGGCUAACUCCGUGCCAGCAGCCGCGGUAAU
rnacentral:rRNA from 1 species